rnacentral:sRNA from 1 species
AAAGCCAUUAAAAAAAUCUGAAACCAUAACCUAUAAUCAGAAGAUCUGUAAGGUAAAAACAAAAUUCCCUGAAUCCUUGGGGGAAAAAAUCAAAUAGUAUUGAGUUCACUUGUGUUGACCAUCUACUGAUGGAUACCCCACUUCUUAAGACAUUUUUCCUAAUGAGUCCUCAGCAUGGGAUGCCUGGGAGCCGACUGAAACAUGGUGGAUGGGAGUAAAGAAAGCCCUGUGUGUUAGGCUGCACCUGUCCUAAGUAAGGUUUCCUUGCUUCUCGGCUAAGAAGAGGAAGAAUAGAUUUAUCUCAUAUACCACAGACUUAACAUGGUUUCUUUGGAAUAUUGGCAGAUUUUCUUGAAUGGAAUCUCAAUCCGCUGUUGUAUGUCCUUCACAUCAUUGCUGCAGAGUGACAACAGGAGAUUUUCUACUCAUUAGACAAGAGACCUCACAGACAAAUCUUAUGUGGAAAUGCUCUCACAGACAGAUCCAACUCCAAGAACUCAGGACCACCAGACGAAGAGUAGCCCAACCCUUAAUGAUCUGGUCCCUUCCACAUCAAUCACUAAUUAAGAAGAUGCCUUACAGGCUUGCCUACACAGAGCAAGUCUUUCCGUCUCUCAAAACACCCUCAUCGAUACAUCCAAGUUGUGCUAUUUCUUAAUCCAAUAAAGUUGUUCGACAAAAUUAGCCAUCACAGCUUUCGA